AGAGUUUGAUCCUGGCUCAGAGCGAACGCUGGCGGCAGGCUUAACACAUGCAAGUCGAGCGGGCGUAGCAAUACGUCAGCGGCAGACGGGUGAGUAACGCGUGGGAACGUACCUUUUGGUUCGGAACAACACAGGGAAACUUGUGCUAAUACCGAAUAAGCCCUUACGGGGAAAGAUUUAUCGCCGAAAGAUCGGCCCGCGUCUGAUCAGCUAGUUGGUGAGGUAACGGCUCACCAAGGCGACGAUCAGUAGCUGGUCUGAGAGGAUGAUCAGCCACAUUGGGACUGAGACACGGCCCAAACUCCUACGGGAGGCAGCAGUGGGGAAUAUUGGACAAUGGGCGCAAGCCUGAUCCAGCCAUGCCGCGUGAGUGAUGAAGGCCCUAGGGUUGUAAAGCUCUUUUGUGCGGGAAGAUAAUGACGGUACCGCAAGAAUAAGCCCCGGCUAACUUCGUGCCAGCAGCCGCGGUAAUACGAAGGGGGCUAGCGUUGCUCGGAAUCACUGGGCGUAAAGGGUGCGUAGGCGGGUCUUUAAGUCAGGGGUGAAAUCCUGGAGCUCAACUCCAGAACUGCCUUUGAUACUGAAGAUCUUGAGUUCGGGAGAGGUGAGUGGAACUGCGAGUGUAGAGGUGAAAUUCGUAGAUAUUCGCAAGAACACCAGUGGCGAAGGCGGCUCACUGGCCCGAUACUGACGCUGAGGCACGAAAGCGUGGGGAGCAAACAGGAUUAGAUACCCUGGUAGUCCACGCCGUAAACGAUGAAUGCCAGCCGUUAGUGGGUUUACUCACUAGUGGCGCAGCUAACGCUUUAAGCAUUCCGCCUGGGGAGUACGGUCGCAAGAUUAAAACUCAAGGAAUUGACGGGGGCCCGCACAAGCGGUGGAGCAUGUGGUUUAAUUCGACGCAACGCGCAGAACCUUACCAGCCCUUGACAUCCCGGUCGCGGACUCCAGAGAUGGAGUUCUUCAGUUCGGCUGGACCGGAGACAGGUGCUG
rnacentral:rRNA from 1 species